UCUUCUUCCUUUCCCUUCCCCGUGAAUUCAGUCAAACCUGCAAACCCCAACUUCCCAAAACAACUCUUCAAAUUCUUAUUCUCUCUCCUUCUCAUGAUUUGAUUUCCAAAAAUCAGUCAUUAAUUCUCUUUAAUAAUUUCCUUAAUUAUCUCUCUUAAAAAAUACUCUAAUUGACUGAAUUCUUCUCCUACACUUCUCUGCAAUUAUGAAAAAGUAUUGUUCAUCCUUGUUUUCCUCUCUAUCAAUUCAUUUUCUGAAAAUAUCCACCUAAAUUCAUGGUGUUCAACGGAUAAAUUUCAUAUAUUUAUAUAUGUAUCAAGAUUUAAGAUAUCUUAAAUAUCAAUAUCUACUUCGAAUUAUUUUCAAUUCAAAGAGCCCUUAAUUCCUUCAAUAACGUUAACGAUGCAGUUGGAACUGAGGCUCUGAAUUAUAAGUCUAUAAUCAGGGGCCUCAUAUGAGCUUCAUUGAUAAGCUUAGCACAGGGCCACCAAAUUCUCAAAGCCGGCCCUGCAUGCAGAAAUUGCAAUCGCAAGGAAAUUAUUUGAUGAAUGGUCGAUGAAUUAAUGCAUGUCUAAUGGAAGCUACCGAUCUCUCAACCGUUGAUGAUAUUUUCGACUCUCGACGACAGAUUCGACAUUGUGCUUGCAGUUUUUGGCAUCAUAUUUUGUAAUGUUGUAAUUUGGUUUGAUAGUUUGUGAGGGUUUGUGAUGUGACUGUGAAGUAUGAUUGUAUUAGGUGAUUUGAAUAUAUUUAAUUUCUCACUCUUAGUCCAAUAUAAGUCAGUAAUGAACUGAGACCUUCCAAUGUUCAUAUAUUGUCGCACGCAUCGCGUGUAUAUAGUAAUACAUAAAAUACCCCUAAAA